GGAAUUAUUGGCAUACCAAUGAAGAUUUUAUUGCUUCCUGAGCUUAGGAUAUAUAAAUAGACAAACUUGACAUGGGACACAUGGGUAUUUUCCCCGUAAUUUUCUGAUCACAUGAAUGUAAUGCGUGCAGGAAAACGGAAGGGAGAGGUGAUACAUAUCUAUAGCAGAAUGCGCAUCUGGUUCAUUCUGCUCUUCGCUUUGGUAGCGCAAAGUCGUCUGUAUCUUAAAGUCAAGUUUUUCCAUCAGGUAAAUUUUCUUUCAUUUUAUAUCUGAAAGUUGUAAUGUCUAGGUGUGUUCCAACUAUUUUACUUCUCGGGCAUUCCUUUGUCCGUCGUUUACGGGACGACCUGGAAGCGCACUUUGAUUUACGCGCUGCCCCAAAUUUUCAUCUACCCGAAUCGGGCAAUGUUUCUUUGUUGGGUACGGGUGGCAGAACCGUAGAUAAAGUGCUUAAAUAUGAUCUCUCAUGGGUCAAAAAGUAUAAGCCCGAUAUCGUGAUUCUCGAAAUGGGCACUAACGAUUUGUCGGGUCACACCCCUGAAGUAGUGGGGUCGAAACUCGAUGAUCUUGUGCACGUUCUGCGCGAUCAGUAUAAAGUUUGCGUUGUUGCUGUGUGCCAAGUGAUUAAUCGGAAUCUGCCUCACACUCAGGCACCUGAUAAUGCGUUUAAUACCAAAGCCGCUCUUUUACGCCAGUACCUGUCUGUUGUCCUUGCUGAGGAACAAGGCAUUUUUGUGUGGGAACAUAGGGAGUUUUCUCACCCUGAUCGUCUCUUGUUGUCCUCAGAUGGUGUGCACUGUAAUGCACAGGGACAGUACUGUUUAUACCGUAGCUAUCGUGGGGCCAUCUUGAAAGCUCUCACCAUGUUAUAGUCCUUAGCUCCAAUAUGUGUUCAUUUUACGCCGUUGGUACAGACAUUAUUAUUGCAUAAUUGUUUGAUAAUUAUGGUGCACUAUAUUAUAUACUCUUUUAUAUUUUACCCCUAUGUAUGUGGUUGCCGUUUAUGUACCACUACUAUAUGUUUAUGUUAUAUGGGCUAGAGCAACAUGAUUGUUUUCAGAUGCCCACGUUGAGACUUCAACAUUGGGUUUUUUCUACACAGGACAUAUUCAUGAUUUGCGCUGGUUAUAUAUACGUACAAUUCGCAGCUUCUUUAAUAGUUUAUGUAUCUGUUUUGUUUCAUGUGUGUGGAGUGUUCUUGUAGUUUCCUUGUGUUGUAUAUAAGAUGUCUUUUCUAUAGUUAUAGGUAUAUAUGACUUGCCGAUCCUGUGUCAAGGAAAAAAUGCAUGUCUAAGUGGGAUAGAGCAAUUAUUGUUUUCAGAUGCCUACAGUUGUUGUCAAUAUAUUGUGGGACGGUGCGGCAUGUUGUUUUCAGAUUGCCCUUGUAUAUUAUUUUUUGCGGCGUUAAAGGAUAAUCAAUUGCGGCUACCUUCGCUGUAUGCCAUGAUUAUUCUGCUGCUUAUAUGUUGUUUUAUUUGUCACCGUUGCAUGAAUAUGUAAAUGGUUGUGCAAUAUGACGUCUGUUAUUUUCCAAAAUUCCUCUUGUCUAAUAUUCCAGGGCCUGAUGUGGCCCCUGUUAAGCAAAGUCUUCGGUCUUUAGUUUUUUCUUUCAGAAUGCCUGCUACUCGACCUAGCACAAGAGUUCAACGUCGUGCACAACCAGCAGCACCACGUCGUCCAUCCUCUCGGAGAAGAACAGCAACCGCCAGUGCCACCACUAUGCAGCAACCAGAGUCAAGUGGAGUUAGUUGUGAGGCGUCUUCCUCCGUGGCCACAACGUCAGCACCUGAUGCAGCAUCGCCAGCGACGACUGUUCCUAACGAAACGGUUCAACGGAUCGUCUCCGCCGUCUCCCAAGCUGUGCUAGCGUCACUCAAUGGAGCCUGCGCCACUACUCUUCCGCCGCCAUCUUCAGCUGUGGAAACGAGGGAAUUGCCUAUGGUAGCGUCAGGUAUAGCUAGUUUUGCAGACGCUACUAUGCAGGGGCCGGUAGCGUCUGCCUUAAAUAACCUUUCAGGUGAGACUAGUUUUAUCCAAGUCUCACCGCCUGUAGAGCCGGGUCUGCCUAAAUUUAAUUCCAUCAAUGUACCCAUUGAUGCGAAUGUGAGCGCAAAAGUUAAGGCCAAGAUUUGGUCUCACGAAUUCGUCGAUUUUGGUGUUUUAAUUAGCUCAGGGGCAGGUGAUACCCGGUAUCACUUGUCUGUGAGCUCCCAAAACGGUUCAGCUUUGCCGACGUUGUCUUUGCAACCGUCCCAAAAGCCGAAAGCCAUUGCUAACAUUGGUGCAUGGACUUCGGCUUUUCAAAUUUUUGUAGGGGUGUACACUGCCAAAUAUCCAAUGGAGGCCCCAGCAUUGAUGAAAUAUAGUGAAGUUGUCCGGGAUUUGGCCGUGCGAGGGGCUGACUGGCGCUUUUAUGACUCACAAUUUCGUCUCUUGCGUCAAUCUAAUCCGACCGAGUUGCCAUGGGGGUUUACGCAUUGGGAACUUUGGAUCCGUGCACAGAAUUUUAAUAAUGCGCGUUUUU